rnacentral:rRNA from 1 species
CACGUAGGGCGCAAGCGUUGUCCGGAAUUAUUGGGCGUAAAGAGCUCGUAGGCGGUCUGUUGCGUCCGCUGUGAAAACUCGGGGCUUAACCCCGAGCCUGCAGUGGAUACGGGCAGACUAGAGUGCGGUAGGGGAGACUGGAAUUCCUGGUGUAGCGGUGAAAUGCGCAGAUAUCAGGAGGAACACCGGUGGCGAAGGCAGGUCUCUGGGCCAUAACUGACGCUGAGAAGCGAAAGCAUGGGGAGCGAACAGG